CCCUCCUUGAUGAUAAUGGACUGAACCUCUGAACCUAUGAUGGGCUUCACAAAAUUGCCCGUUGCCCUCAGGCCUUCUGAUUCAGGCCUCAACAGGGAGGACCACCCAGGUAAAAUGUGACACCAGGGGCUUUAUGCCAUAGCAAAAAGUCCUGGUUGCAGUGACAAUCACCCAGAACACGUGUAGACCCUUAAAGUCCUUGGGUAUAACCCAACUAAGAUUGCUCAGUCUCCAGACAUGAGGCCCAGACACACUCUGUUUGAGCUCACCAUGUCACCAGGAUGCUACUCACCACCCUGACACUCUGCAGUGUCGUGCUAGGAUACGAGUUCUCAGUUUGUUCACAGCACUGGCCUGUGCUUGGCACUCAGGCUGGGUGUGGGGCAGAAGGGGUGCACUGUAUUACAGCGCAAAAGCAAAACAGACGACCACCAAAUUCACAAAAGCAGUUUUUAUUUGAGGCAAAAAGUCUGACCCCCAUAGGACUGGAGUUCUAAGCACUCAAAUUUAAGUGUUAGUGGCAUGACUUGGGCUAUAAAUCUUGCUUUCUCUUUGGUUGGAAAAGGUACUCGUGUUAAAGUCCUCCAGGUGGGAAGAAGACCAAGAAAGGCCGAAGAAACUCCUCAGCUACUGGUACUGCCCUCCACAUUCUACGUCAAA
rnacentral:sRNA from 1 species